UUGUCUAAGAUGGAGGAUGGCCACUCCACUUUAGACACGCUUUCUGUCCCUGCCUUCUUUUCGGUCCUGAUUCUCUCCGCCAGCCCAUCCUCCCCUCAGGGGGCCACAUUCCACGGGGAAGGUGUCAGCCCGUACCUACUGAGGAGGAGGGAAAGAAGAACAUUAUAACUACACCAAAGUCUACUAUGCUACAUUUGAUCAUGACCAUUUACUGAACUGAAUUUCCUUGAAGAGAGAAAACCUUCAAACUUGAGUUUCCCAACAGAAGAACAAGAUAACUGAAGUUUUGAAACAGAGAAGAAGAUCAGCCAAAUUGAUGUGAAGAACAUCUCAUUGCUUUGCUUUGUAUUAUGAAAUAAUUUGUAGUUGUAUUAAUAAAAGAAAUGUUAAAUUGUGAAAAGAGUAGCAACCAGGUGCCAAUUGGUUUUUAACCAAUUCAAUAAUAUACCUUCAAGUCUUAAAUCAUAAGUUUGAGUCAAGAUUAAAACAAAAUUAAUAUUUGUUCAACAUGAAACAAAUUUGUUUGUUUUACACAUUUAACUCCUGGAAACUAUGAAACAUCUUUCUAUGGAACAUCCUUUUAUGAAAUGUUAAGCUUUCUAUGAAAUGUUAAAUUCUUUUUGAGUUUGUCACUUUUAAGUUUUAGUUUGACAAUUUAAGAGUAACCUUUUAAUUACCUUUUAAGACCAAUUUUUAUAAAUAAAUUAUUGAAAAUUAAAAUAUUAUCUCACAGUGAAUUGAGAAAAUUAAUAAAAUUAUAGAUAAAAUAUAUAAUCAGCGAAAAACAAGACAAGUAUAAGCUAAAUUAGACAUAUCCAAAAUUAUUAGAGUUUUUGAAAAAUUUUUAAAUUUUAAUUCGUUUUAUUUUGCAUUUGUAAAAUUUUAUGAUUUAUUACACUAAUACCUUUUGUUAUUUUAGUUAAACUUUAAUGUCCUUUUUGUAUUUGAAAACGGGCAGAUGUUGUAUCAUGCUUUUUGUUUUAUUAGUAGGUUUAUGGUUUGAUUUGUGGUUUGGUGGUUUUCCUUGUUGCUGUUUUCCUUUUGUCUCCGCCUUUUCCCAGUUAUUUUGUCAGCUAGUUUCCAGUUUCUAUUUCUCCAAACUUUAGCCGUUUACUGUUGGGAAGGAUGAAAGUUUGACAAGAAAGCCUCACAGAUAUGUAUGCUUAGCAGAAAGAUUUUUGAAUGUAGAAGCUGAGGAAGGAAUAGAGAUGGAAGCAAGUUUUGAUAUAGAAGAAAAGAAUUGCUGAGCCAGUCUUACUGGAUAACCAAGGAGGCAAAGGGUAUGUUAGUUAGAAGGGGGUUUUUAUGACUUAGAACAAAGGAUAAACCCACCUCAAACAAGAAGAUGUUUUUACCAAGCAGAAAGAUACCACAGGCAAACAAGUCAGCAAAUGUUGCAAGUAGAAAAAAGGUCUCAGAAUUUUCCACUGCAAGAAAACUGAAAAACACCUUCUAGCUUAAAGUGUAAUGUACUAACAUUUAGUGAUUGGAGAAUACUAACAUGAAUAUGGUAAUUGUAUUAGUUAUGAUAGGCUAUAGAUAAAAGUUAAGGUAUAGAUUGGUUCUACUGUAUUAAGAUGCUCAGCAAAGUAUAUAAUGCAUUUGUAACCUAAACUAAGGGUCUCCAGGCCUGCCUGCAGCUGCAGCUGACAGCUGUAGGCACAGGCUCUGUUGCCCACGACCCUGGACUGCUCUAACAUCUUGCAUGUAAUAAACUGUGUUUUGGAAGA